AUGGCUGUAGAGGAUGUCGACCCCAAGUCCAGUGUUUCUGCUGCUGCUGUCCCAUACGUGUUCUUCCUCUUUCUAUUAGAGGUUCUGCUACAGUUUUUUGUUCUAGUGUUUUCCCUAGAUAUGCUAGACUUUGCUUCAUAUACGGAACUUGUCCUACUGUCUGCUAUAAAUAAACUUGGUUACAGUUCCUAUAUGCAGAUGUUAUUUACCUUCUCUCUGUCAGAUCGCUUGACUAGUUUUGUCUCUGCUAUAUUAGUCAUGCUUUAUCUAAUAUUUUUAUUAAUAAAAUCAUUUGAUAAAUUGCUCAUAUUUCCAACACGACGUUCUGUCAAUCUAGAUGUCCAAAAUCAAAAGCACACAUUCAGAUUUGCUACCAAUAUUCUACCCCUUAAUCUUUCAAGAUCGAUUGACGAUUGGCCUUUACCUUUGAUGAUCUUGGGCACGACGGAGCGUGGCAUGGAGAGACUGUUCACGGUUGUUGAGGCACUUGCGACGUCGGCAAUCGACCAUCAGGUUCUUCGAGGGCACGCCCUCCACCCUAUUCUUCCUCGACGCCGACAUAGGAGCCGCAGCCAUUGCGCAAGGGCAGAACACGCCACCGUCCGUGGUCGCCAGCCCGGGAUCUACCUCGCAGGUGCUGGCGAUUUUGUUGCUCGCCGCUGCCGGGCCGGCCCGUGUAGAUAG
rnacentral:rRNA from 1 species